rnacentral:tRNA from 1 species
GUGGUGGCUCAGCGGUAGAACACUUGCCUCGCACGUGCAAGACCCUGGGUUCAAUCCUCAGCACCACA